rnacentral:rRNA from 1 species
AGCAGUCGCCGCGGUAAUACGAAGGGGGCUAGCGUUGUUCGGAAUUACUGGGCGUAAAGCGCACGUAGGCGGACAUUUAAGUCAGGGGUGAAAUCCCGGGGCUCAACCUCGGAACUGCCUUUGAUACUGGGUGUCUUGAGUGUGGAAGAGGUAAGUGGAAUUGCGAGUGUAGAGGUGAAAUUCGUAGAUAUUCGCAGGAACACCAGUGGCGAAGGCGGCUUACUGGUCCACAACUGACGCUGAGGUGCGAAAGCGUGGGGAGCAAACAGGAUUAGAUACCCGUGUAGUCCCUGUCUCUUAUAC